rnacentral:rRNA from 1 species
UACGUAGGGUGCGAGCGUUAAUCGGAAUUACUGGGCGUAAAGCGUGCGCAGGCGGUUUUGUAAGCCAGAUGUGAAAUCCCCGGGCUUAACCUGGGAAUGGCAUUUGGGACUGCAAGGCUCGAGUGCGGUAGAGGAGACUGGAAUUCCUGGUGUAGCAGUGAAAUGCGUAGAUAUCAGGAGGAACACCAAUGGCGAAGGCAGCACUCUGGGACGUGACUGACGCUGAGACGCGAAAGCGUGGGGAGCAAACAGG